CCUACGGGAGGCUGCAGUGAGGAAUAUUGGUCAAUGGGCGGGAGCCUGACCCAGCCAAGUCGCGUGAGGGAAGACGGUCCUACGGAUUGUAAACCUCUUUUGCCGGGUAGCAACGGGGUCCUUGCGAGGGCCCGAUGAGAGUACCCGGAGAAAAAGCAUCGGCUAACUCCGUGCCAGCAGCCGCGGUCAUACGGAGGAUGCGAGCGUUAUCCGGAUUUAUUGGGUUUAAAGGUUGCGUAGGCGGAAUAUCCAGUCGGCGGUAAAAAUUCGGGGCUCAACCCCGUCGUGCCGUUGAAACUGAUGUUCUGGAGUGGGCGAGAAGUAUGCGGAAUGCGUGGUGGAGCGGUGAAAUGCAUAGAUAUCACGCAGAACUCCGAUUGCGAAGGCAGCAUACCGGCGCCCAACUGACGCUCAGGCACGAAAGCGUGGGUAUCGAACAGGAUUAGAUACCCGGGUAGUC
rnacentral:rRNA from 1 species